AGGGGUUGUAGCUGACCGGGGCUCGUCUACCCAAGCGUUCUUCCUUCCCCCAUUGGGAACAAUAGUUGUCUCCUCCCCAGACUAGAGGCACAAAGGGGGCCUGUCUCUGCAGCUAUGAGCCCGGGUUGGUCGGCUGGAUACCUACGUGACUCCACGUUCAUUAGCAUCUGUUUGUGACCACGAAAUAUCGACGUUAUAGACUGUGUCUCUGUGAUAUGUAAGGCUUGGGGGAGGGGUAGUAGGUGGAUAUUACUAAAUACUACCUGAAAUCUUUCCUGAAAGACAAACGGUGAGUAAAUCAGCCUUACUGACUGAAGCAUUGCCUUCUCAGCAAGGAGCCGAAUUAAAGACCUGGCGGUUCCUCCUACUUGAGAGCACGUCUGGGCCAGCUGGGAACCGACCAGAAACCACAAGCAGAGGAGACAGAGCUAACGGGCGAAACCCGCAGCUUCCUAGCUCCAGCAGGGAGGGGAGUAGAGAUCAAACCUCUUCUCUGUAACAAGAGGAAUGUAAAAAGGGACCUAUCUGGGUAACCACAGAUAGCAACCGCACCAGCCUCCCGCCAGCCUUUCAUUCCCAUUACAUCUCUGUCACACUGUCUAUGCCAAACAUUGCCACCCAAGGAACACCCACAGGGAGACCCUGCCAAACGCCAGUUUUACUAUUACUCAACCCUCUCUUCUACACAUCCAGAUCCAUUUUCCACAUUCUUCAUCACACCUCCAUAAGACACAGAGACAUACAAAUAGACAAACACAGAGACUGUCUCCACUUUUAUCGGCAAACACCCAACUCCUCUUUUCCCUCAGUCAUCAGCAAAGAGAUCUCUGCAAAGAGCAUAUAAAAAUUAGAAUCAAAGAAGAUAGUAAUUCAUUUAAAAAAUCGGCAAUGAAAAAAUACUUAAGUUCAAUAUCCAACGGCAGAGUUAAACAUGAUUGGUUAUCUAACUUAUUUGCAAAAGAUAUAUAUGAAUGGAAAAAGGAGGGGAAAUUUGUGGUUGAACUUGAAGGUAACCUUAAGCAUUUUUAUGGUCAAAAUAAUCAUUAAAAAC
rnacentral:lncRNA from 1 species